rnacentral:rRNA from 1 species
AACGAACGCUGGCGGCAUGCCUAACACAUGCAAGUCGAACGAGACCUUCGGGUCUAGUGGCGCACGGGUGCGUAACGCGUGGGAACCUGCCCUUAGGUUCGGAAUAACUCCCCGAAAGGGGUGCUAAUACCGGAUAAUGUCUUCGGACCAAAGAUUUAUCGCCUUUGGAUGGGCCCGCGUUGGAUUAGCUAGUUGGCAGGGUAAAAGCCUACCAAGGCGACGAUCCAUAGCUGGUCUGAGAGGAUGAUCAGCCACACUGGGACUGAGACACGGCCCAGACUCCUACGGGAGGCAGCAGUGGGGAAUAUUGGACAAUGGGCGAAAGCCUGAUCCAGCAAUGCCGCGUGAGUGAUGAAGGCCUUAGGGUUGUAAAGCUCUUUUACCCGGGAUGAUAAUGACAGUACCGGGAGAAUAAGAUCCGGCUAACUCCGUG